rnacentral:rRNA from 1 species
AGUCGUAACAAGGUCUCCGUUGGUGAACCAGCGGAGGGAUCAUUACCGAGUUAUUCUACUCCCAAACCCCUGUGAACUUAUACCUUUACUGUUGCUUCGGCGGGUUAACGCCCCGGAAGGCCCGCGAGGGCCGCCGGAACCAGGCGCCCGCCGGGGGACCCAAACUCUUGUAUCUUUUUUAUAGCAUGUCUGAGUGGAAUCAUAAACAAAUGAAUCAAAACUUUCAACAACGGAUCUCUUGGUUCUGGCAUCGAUGAAGAACGCAGCGAAAUGCGAUAAGUAAUGUGAAUUGCAGAAUUCAGUGAAUCAUCGAAUCUUUGAACGCACAUUGCGCCCGCCAGUAUUCUGGCGGGCAUGCCUGUUCGAGCGUCAUUUCAACCCUCAAGCCCCAGUGGCCUGGUGUUGGGGACCGGCGACCUCGCCCGGGGGAACACCCCCGGCGCGUCCGCCGCCCCCGAAAUGAAUUGGCGGCCCCGUCGCGGCCUCCUCUGCGUAGUAGCACAACCUCGCAGCGGGAGCGCGACGCGGCCACUGCCGUAAAACGCCCAACUUUUUUUAGAGUUGACCUCGGAUCAGGUAGGAAUACCCGCUGAAC